rnacentral:rRNA from 1 species
UACGUAGGAUGCGAGCGUUAUCCGGAUUUACUGGGUGUAAAGGGAGCGUAGACGGCAGGGCAAGUCUGGAGUGAAAGGCAGGGGCCCAACCCCUGGACUGCUCUGGAAACUGUCCGGCUGGAGUGCAGGAGAGGUAAGUGGAAUUCCUAGUGUAGCGGUGAAAUGCGUAGAUAUUAGGAGGAACACCAGUGGCGAAGGCGGCUUACUGGACUGUAACUGACGUUGAGGCUCGAAAGCGUGGGGAGCAAACAGG